UUGGAUGGGCCAUCUGUCUGUGACCGAAAUGGAGAGCGGGGACGAUUGGUUUGCCCUAGACAAACUCUAUCAUGUCUUAUUCUGUUUCUUCAUCUCGAUACUCGUUUCAACAACAGUUGCUAUUACAACCACAACUCGAUAUCCUUUCCUCAGAAGAUGGAGUAUUUGGAUUGGAUCUCUCGUGUCCAUGUCUGCUGGAGCAGCUAAAGAAUUUGGAGAUGAGAUUGGACUAUGGAAAUCUGCCGGUGCUUCUACUAAAGAUGCCAUUGCUGAUCUCUUUGGAAUAUUACUUGCUUAUUUAUCUAUGCUUUUCUACAGUUCCUUUUUUACUUCUUCCGUCAAAAAGCCAGGAGAAGAAGCGGCUGUUUCACUGGUUUAAUAAGAUCAUCAGGGUUCGUGUUGAGGAUUUUAUCAGGGAUUUCUCAAGACUACUACAUUUUCAUUAAAAUCAACACAAGGGAUACUGAUGAGUGAUGGCAGUUAAGAAGUAGAUAUCUUGUUGCAAAAUCAAGAGAAUAAGGUUCUCAGUGGAAAUCCUACCAAGUUAUAUCAUGCUUUAGCUUCUCUUGAGUCAAUGGACAGAACAAUUCUGGCUAACUGUCCGAGAAAUUCUUGGUAUAAAGGGAGGUAACCAGCCACCAUUCAAGUAUAGGUGUGAUCCAUGUUUUACACUGCUGUAAUCUGUGGAGAUAAGCAUAUCAGAUUUGGACUCUCUAAUUGCCACAGCCUUGUGGUUCUUGAUUCGCAAUGACAUGCUUUACACUGCUGCAAUCUGUGGAGAUAAGUAUAUCAGAUUUGGACUCUCUAAUUGCCACAGCCUUGUGGUUCCAGGGAGAGAGAAGAGCACUGCUACUCCUGCAGGUUUUAGUGUUGGAUUAGUUUGCCAAAUCUGAUGAACUGUCAAUAUACCGAAUGCUUACAUGCUUCGAAAAUGGAAUUACAAACUGAUAUUUUUAGUUUAGUCAACUGAGACUUGCUGAUCUGAUGAUCUUAAAACUGUCCAGAUGUUUUGUAAUAUCUCAACUCAGAACAUACUCAACUAUAUGGCCAAUGUGGGUGGAAUCAUGAAAAUGUUGUUUUUUUUCCUCA